CACUUAUUUAUGGUGAAGUCAGGGCUAAAAGCUGAAUAUUUCAAUUCCCAUCAAGUCCAUUUCUCCUCCAGGUGACUAUGUUGUGAAUCAUAACAAGAUUGAUACGUUUGGCCAGAGAAUGCCUAAAUCCUGACAUCAACCAGCCAUUCCUGCCUACAUGGUCCUAUGACUGAGGAAAUAAAACUUCAGUGCUGACUAGGUUUUUGAUCCCUAAACCCUCUGCAGUCGCUGUGCCUCCUUCGGAUCCGGCUGCUCCCCAUUUGACAAGUUCAAUGUUUGUGUCCUCAGGAAGGGAAAUGGAAACAGACCAAAGACGCAACAUC
rnacentral:lncRNA from 12 species